rnacentral:rRNA from 1 species
CGCGGCCUAUCAGCUUGUUGGUGGGGUAACGGCUUACCAAGGCGACGACGGGUAGCCGGCCUGAGAGGGCGACCGGCCACACUGGGACUGAGAUACGGCCCAGACUCCUACGGGAGGCAGCAGUGGGGAAUAUUGCACAAUGGGCGCAAGCCUGAUGCAGCAACGCCGCGUGCGGGAUGACGGCCUUCGGGUUGUAAACCGCUUUCAGUAGGGACGAAGCUAACGUGACGGUACCUACAGAAGAAGGACCGGCUAACUACGUGCCAGCAGCCGCGGUGAUACGUAGGGUCCGAGCGUUGUCCGGAAUUAUUGGGCGUAAAGGGCUUGUAGGCGGUCCGUCGCGUCAAGAGUGAAAACUCGGGGCUUAACCCCGAGCCUGCUUUUGAUACGGGCGGACUAGAGGGAUGCAGGGGAGAACGGAAUUCCUGGUGGAGCGGUGGAAUGCGCAGAUAUCAGGAGGAACACCGGUGGCGAAGGCGGUUCUCUGGGCAUCACCUGACGCUGAGAAGCGAAAGCGUGGGGAGUAAACAGGCUUAGAUACCCUGGUAGUCCACGCCGUAAACGGUGGGCACUAGGUGUGGGGGACAUUCCACGUUCUCCGUGCCGAAGCUAACGCAUUAAGUGCCCCGCCUGGGGAGUACGG